GGGUUGUGAGGUUAAGCGACUAAGCGUACACGGUGGAUGCCCUGGCAGUCAGAGGCGAUGAAGGACGUGCUAAUCUGCGAUAAGCGUCGGUAAGGUGAUAUGAACCGUUAUAACCGGCGAUUUCCGAAUGGGGAAACCCAGUGUGAUUCGUCACACUAUCAUUAACUGAAUCCAUAGGUUAAUGAGGCGAACCGGGGGAACUGAAACAUCUAAGUACCCCGAGGAAAAGAAAUCAACCGAGAUUCCCCCAGUAGCGGCGAGCGAACGGGGAGCAGCCCAGAGCCUGAAUCAGUGUGUGUGUUAGUGGAAGCGUCUGGAAAGGCGCGCGAUACAGGGUGACAGCCCCGUACACAAAAAUGCACAUAUUGUGAGCUCGAUGAGUAGGGCGGGACACGUGGUAUCCUGUCUGAAUAUGGGGGGCCCAUCCUCCAAGGCUAAAUACUCCUGACUGACCGAUAGUGAACCAGUACCGUGAGGGAAAGGCGAAAAGAACCCCGGCGAGGGGAGUGAAAAAGAACCUGAAACCGUGUACGUACAAGCAGUGGGAGCACGCUUAGGCGUGUGACUGCGUACCUUUUGUAUAAUGGGUCAGCGACUUAUAUUCUGUAGCAAGGUUAACCGAAUAGGGGAGCCGAAGGGAAACCGAGUCUUAACUGGGCGUUAAGUUGCAGGGUAUAGACCCGAAACCCGGUGAUCUAGCCAUGGGCAGGUUGAAGGUUGGGUAACACUAACUGGAGGACCGAACCGACUAAUGUUGAAAAAUUAGCGGAUGACUUGUGGCUGGGGGUGAAAGGCCAAUCAAACCGGGAGAUAGCUGGUUCUCCCCGAAAGCUAUUUAGGUAGCGCCUCGUGAAUUCAUCUCCGGGGGUAGAGCACUGUUUCGGCAAGGGGGUCAUC
rnacentral:rRNA from 1 species